rnacentral:misc_RNA from 1 species
GAUGAAGAACGUAGCGAAAUGCGAUAAGUAGUGUGAAUUGCAGAAUUCAGUGAAUCAUCGAAUCUUUGAACGCACAUUGCGCCCCUUGGUAUUCCAUGGGGCAUGCCUGUUCGAGCGUCAUUUGUACCUUCAAGCUUUGCUUGGUGUUGGGUGUUUGUCUCGCCUUUGCGUGUAGACUCGCCUUAAAUAAUUGGCAGCCGGCGUAUUGAUUUCGGAGCGCAGUACAUCUCGCGCUUUGCACUCAUAACGACAGCGUCCAAAAGUACAUUUUACACUCUUGACCUCGGAUCAGGUAGGGAUACCCGCUGAACUUAAGCAUAUCAAUAAGCGGAGGA